CAACUCUGGUUUCCCUUCAAAACGUAUAAAUCUUUCGCCUUUUACUAAAGAUUUCCGUGGAGGGGAACACUCAAAUGAGUCUUCUCAUAUUUUUGUUGCCUUGCGUUCGUCGUAAGGC